UUCAAGUCCUUUUUACUGGUAGUAACCGGCUCGGAUUCUCUGUUGGAAGACACUACGAAUAUAACAUUGAAUAUACAGAAUGUAAACGAGGCUCCCGUGUUUACAAAGAAGUAUUACUCACUUACAACUUCAGAAAAUAGUGUAAGUUCCAUGAUAAUUAAUUUACAAUACUUUUGAUGCUUUUAAUGAUUUAUUUAUGAUCUGUUGUAUGAUUUUCUUAUUAUUAUGCUACAUGGUUUUAUGUUCAUAUUUGUGUUUUGUUUUUUAUUAUACUUGCUGUGUUUUAUUUAUCCUGUUCUUAUUAUGUUGUAUUAUAGCUCAAGUGAACAAUUUACAUAUAGUAGUUUCUAUAUUAAACUUACUUACUUAGUUAUGUCCUUUUAAAAGUGACAUGAUAAAGUCUCCUCCUCUUCCAUUAGGAUGUUCAAUUUUUUUUUCUCUCAUAAAUACUAUCGCGAAAUCUUAUCGUCCUCUAACACAAAAACAUGACCAUAGACGAUACAUUUAGUAAAUGUAUGAUCGUCUUUGAGAAUUUUUCAACCAUUUUCAACGUGGUUAAAGGAAUGGAUUACGGAAUUUUGUUAAUAGAUUAUAACGUUAUCACAAAAGUACAAAACAUAUUUUUUAUUAGACAAAACACGUUCCAGAACUUACAUUCCUGCUGAUUGGUUUUUUAAUAAUAUUUAUUUAGGGAGGAACUAUUAUUCAGAAUCCAUAUUACCAGUAUACAGACGUAGAUGGUGACACUGUUAAAUUUUCCCUUGACUGUGGUGCUGACACGGGCC
rnacentral:lncRNA from 1 species